rnacentral:misc_RNA from 1 species
GGGGUAGGAGAGGAGGGGGUCGAGGACGCGCAGAUCACGGGCGGGGAGUCCCGUGCGCCGCAUGAUCGAGUGCUUCCAUACGUCCUCGAGGAGCGUGCCGCCGGUGGGCGAAACGAUGAGCCAGGCUCGGCCCGUAGUGCCCUUCCGCCUCGGGGGAGGUGGAGGGCGGUGCUGGGCGUCGUUGGCCGGCGAGGUCGCCGGAGACCUCAUCGGAGGAGGUGGGGUCGCUUGGGUUUCGGGGACGUUUG